rnacentral:rRNA from 1 species
ACGCACGCUGGCGGCGUGCUUAACACAUGCAAGUCGCACGGAAAGGCCCUGCUUUUGUGGGGUGCUCGAGUGGCGAACGGGUGAGUAACGCGUGAGUAACCUGCCCUUGACUUUGGGAUAACUUCAGGAAACUGGGGCUAAUACCGGAUAGGAGCUCCUGCUGCAUGGUGGGGGUUGGAAAGUUUCGGCGGUUGGGGAUGGACUCGCGGCUUAUCAGCUUGUUGGUGGGGUAGUGGCUUACCAAGGCUUUGACGGGUAGCCGGCCUGAGAGGGUGACCGGCCACAUUGGGACUGAGAUACGGCCCAGACUCCUACGGGAGGCAGCAGUGGGGAAUAUUGCACAAUGGGCGGAAGCCUGAUGCAGCAACGCCGCGUGCGGGAUGACGGCCUUCGGGUUGUAAACCGCUUUCGCCUGUGACGAAGCGUGAGUGACGGUAAUGGGUAAAGAAGCACCGGCUAACUACGUG